AAUCAACGCUGGCGGCGUGCCUCAGACAUGCAAGUCGAACGCGAAAGUCCCCCUCGGGGGACAAGUAGAGUGGCGCACGGGUGAGUAACACGUAGGUAAUCUACCUUCGGGUGGGGAAUAACAAUCGGAAACGGUUGCUAAUACCGCAUAAUGCAGCGGCACCUAAUGGUGACAGUUGUUAAAGCGGGGGAGUCGCAAGAUCUCGCGCCUGAAGAGGAGCCUGCGGCGGAUUAGCUAGUUGGUAGGGUAAUGCCUACCAAGGCGACGAUCCGUAGCCGGCCUGAGAGGGCGGUCGGCCACACUGACACUGACAUACGGGUCAGACUCCUACGGGAGGCAGCAGUCGGGAAUUUUGGG
rnacentral:rRNA from 1 species